rnacentral:misc_RNA from 1 species
GAUGAAGAACGUAGCGAGAUGCGAUACGUAGUGUGAAUUGCAGAAUUCCGUGAACCAUCGAAUCUUUGAACGCAAAUUGCGCCCGAGGCCUCGGCCGAGGGCAUGUCUGCCUCAGCGUCGGCUUACACUCUCGCUCCCCACCUACUGUGGUAAGGAGCGGAUCUGACCCCCCCGGCUCUCCCUUUGUUGGGCCUCCGGGUUGGUUGAAGCUGAGAGGCUUGAGCAUGGACCCCGUUUGCAGGGCAAUGGCUUGGUAGGUAGGCAUUCCCUACGCAGCCUGCCGUUGUCCGAGGGGACUUUGCUGGCGGCCUAGCAGGAAUUCGGAUUGUAACACAAUCCGGACGACUCAUACUUUCGACCUGAGCUCAGGCAAGACUACCCGCUGAACUUAAGCAUAUCAAUAAGCGGAGGA